rnacentral:lncRNA from 1 species
UCCACUGAAUGAAAAGACAUAUGAUACAAUUGAUCACAACGAGUCAAACUUAAUAUAACAUCAUCAUCAAUCGAAUCACUGUUUAAAACCCAAGAUUCUUUUUUAUUAACAUACGUGGUCAGGAGGAAAACUAAUACCUUUUAAACCUAUCAUCUACCUUUUAGUUGGUCAGUUUUUUCUUUUCUCCCAUCGAUAUGCCUUGAAAAUAAAGAAUUAUUCAUUUCAAUCCAAACAUAGGGUAUUAAACGAGCACAUAUUACUCCUAUAUACAUGUAUGACAGGGUGCUAAUAACACAAAAAGCUGCAAUAAUGGAUUCUCUCCCUUAUGCAAACUCUAUCACUGCUGGAUUAUUCACAAUAAUCAUCGUGUAUUACUUAUCACGAAGAUGGAGAGCUGCCAAUUACAAGGGAAAAUUAUCACCACCUGAAGCCAAGGGUGGAUGGCCUAUAUAUUUGGUCACCUUCGUUUGUUUGGAGGCUCCACACCUCCUCUCAUAACUUUGGGAGCCACGGCAGACAAGUACGGACCCAUUUUCGCUAUCUACCUUGGCGUCCAUCCGUCGUUGGUGAUAAGCAGCAGUGAGAUCGCAAAAGAAUGCUACACAACCAAUGACUUGGGCCUAAACUCGCACCCAAAGAUGGCGGCUCUAGCCCACAUUAGCUACAACUACGCCAUGUUUGGGGUCGGACCAUUUGGACCCUAAUGGCGAGAAAUUCGCAAGUUCGUCACCUUGGAGUUGCUCUCAAUCCGGAAGGUUGAGCUGCUCAAGCACAUUCGAGUAUCGGAAGUGACUACUUUCUUGAAAGAGUUGCACGAACUUUGGAGUACAAAGAAAAAGGAGGGCUCGAAAGAUGGAGUGGUUGUAGAGCUGAAGCAAUGGCUUGGGGUUGGGGACAUGUCGCUGAACGUGAUCCUUACAAUGGUGGCUGGAAAGCGGUAUUCAAUAGCUGCCGAUGGGGAUGGGAAGAAAGAAGCUCGUGGGGUUCAGACUGCAUUGAGGGAGUUUUUUUAUUAUCUGGGCAUGUUUUUUGGUGGGUGAUGCGGUUCCGUAUCUGCGGUGGUUGGAUUUGGGUGGACAUGAGAAGGUAAUGAAGAAAAUUGCAAAGGAAUUGGACGCCAUAGCUGGAGAGUGGGUUGAAGAGAAUAAGCAGAGAAGAGCAAAAGGUGAUGCAAAAGGAGAGCAGGAUAUUAUAGAUGUGUUGCUUUCUGUGCUUGAUGGUGCAGAUCUUGGCGGUUUUGAUGCUGAUACGAUCAACAAGGCCACAAGCUUGGUACAUAUAUAUAAUUCAUUAAUUUUUGCAUGCAAAUGACUAACCAUAAAAGGCUGGAGUUUGACACUGUAAACACAUUAAGACUAUAAAAUGAAACUGAAAACAUUACACAAUAAUUUUUUUUUAAAUAUAUGAUUUUCCCAUUUUAUAUAUAACUCAUGCAAAAUAUUUGAGUGCUCACCAAUGGGUGAAGGUAGAUAGAUCAUCUUUUUAGAUAAUAUUUGUAGAACAUAUGAUGUGGUAGUUGAUAGUUGAAUAUUUUUUUUUUAAAUCUUUAAAAAUGAAAUCUACAAUUCUACUGAAAAUUCUCAUCAAACCUUGCUUGUCCUCUAAACUUUAUGGAUAAAAAAAAAAGGAAAUAUAUAGUAUUAUGUUCGAUGUGAAAAAGAGGUUUAGUGUUGAGCACACGCUGAGUCAUGUCAAGAAUCAACUCAUCUCCAUUUGGAAUUGUCGGAGCAGAUCAUAGCCACACCUCAGAAGCUAUCCAAUCUCUUCCCUGGAUUGGAUUUGAUUGCCUCAGAUUCUAACUUUUCAGCUGCACCUUCGGAGUUUGGAGUUUAUUUGGAAAACAUUGCGGAGUCCAAUUGUACGGGGAGAUUCACGCAGAUGCUACAGCCUGAGCCAUCAGAUUUGGACAAAGUGGUGGUGGCGGCUGUCUAGAGGCAGAACAAAGCAAAAAUUUAAACCACCAUCUGAAACAUGCUCUCAGAAUCAGAACAAAAAAAGGCAUGAAAUCACAGGAUUUAAGUGAAUUAAGGCAGGGAUUUAAGUAUUGUUUAGUUAUACGAAUGUAUUCCAGAAUUCUUCAAUUCCAGCGUUCAAGUUUGAUUCUUUACAACAUGCACUACCAGACAAACUAGCCGUUUCAAUAGAACUUGGUUAAUAUUGUCCUCCUAUUUUGAUUGAGGUUUUCUUCGGAUUCCUCUCUCACAAUCUAUCGGGAUCAAUCAAAUCAAAUUAUAUUAUUACAUUUAAUGUACUCAUUUCUAUUUCUGGUAUAUUGAAAAAUCUUUUCAUAAAUAAGAGGUCACAACAUCUAUGUCAUAAAAUUAAUUUUCCAUUGAAUGAAAAGACAUAUGAUACAAUUGAUCACAACGAGUCAAACUUAAUAGAACAUCAUCAUCAAUCGAAUCACUGUUUAAAACCCAAGAUUCUUUUUUAUUAACAUACGUGGUCAGGAGGAAAACUAAUACCUUUUAAACCUAUCAUCUACCUUUUAGUUGGUCAGUUUUUUCUUUUCUCCCAUCGAUAUGCCUUGAAAAUAAAGAAUUAUUCAUUUCAAUCCAAACAUAGGGUAUUAAACGAGCACAUAUUACUCCUAUAUACAUGUAUGACAGGGUGCUAAUAACACAAAAAGCUGCAAUAAUGGAUUCUCUACCUUAUGCAAACUCUAUUAAUCAUCGUGUAUUACUUAUCACGAAGAUGGAGAGCUGCCAAUUACAAGGGAAAAUUAUCACCACCUGAAGCCAAGGGUGGAUGGCCUAUAUAUUUGGUCACCUUCGUUUGUUUGGAGGCUCCACACCUCCUCUCAUAACUUUGGGAGCCACGGCAGACAAGUACGGACCCAUUUUCGCUAUCUACCUUGGCGUCCAUCCGUCGUUGGUGAUAAGCAGCAGUGAGAUCGCAAAAGAAUGCUACACAACCAAUGACUUGGGCCUAAACUCGCACCCAAAGAUGGCGGCUCUAGCCCACAUUAGCUACAACUAUUAGUGUAUAAGCUGUGAGCUAAGUAGAGUUAAAGUAAAUAAGCCUUGUUUUUAAUUGUGUAUUCACUUAGUCUUAGAUUAUGACAAGUGUAAGGCUGAGAUUGUAGUGUUGGUUGUGGAUAUCCAGCUAAGGCUAGUUGUUAUGUUCACAUGCCUUUGUGCGUGUAUUGAUAGAGAGAUAUAUGAAACAUCACUCUCAGACUUUGAGAGGAAGAACAGAGC